CAGGUGUCUCUUACCUGCACCACGUGGGGAGGGAGGGUGAGCAGGUAGAGCCACAUCCCAAGACAGAGACGCUCGCCUCCAUUGCGCGUCUCCUAGGGGCGCAGCCCUGGUUUGCCUUGGUUCCCAAGCAGUCAGCUACAAAACGGGGACGCUGCACACGCCUCCCCUCCUGAGCAGGUCUCCGGGGAGUGGUGGUGGGUGGGGGAGAGCGAAGUGGCUGCAGGUGUGCGCUGGGGGGGCGGGUUUCUUCCUUUACACGGCAGGGGUGGUGUGUGUGUAGCAGGGUGUUCUCGGUAAACUUGGGGCAGGAAUCCGGUUUCUUGCCCCCCAACCCCCCCCGGCGAUCAUCAUGACUGCGUCUCUUGACUACCUGGUGAUCUUGUUCGGGACGACUGCUGGUGCUCAGGGGGCUAAGCUGGGAUCCGAUGAGAAAGAGCUGGUCCAGCUGCUGUGGAAAGUGGUGGAUCUGGCCCGCAAGAAGGCGGGGAACCUGCACGAAGUGCUGGUCAGGCCGGAGCGCUUGGACCUGACAGAGGAAUGCAAAGAAACAACCAAGCUGGAGGUGGAGAGCCUGGCGCGAGCCCCGCAGCUGGAACAAGCCCUGCAACAGUUUAACCAGUCUGUGAGCAAUGAACUGAAUAUUGGUGUAGGUACUUCCUUCUGUCUCUGUACCGAUGGACAGCUUCACAUCAGACAGCUUCUGCAUCCUGAGGCUUCCAAAAAGAAUAUCUUAUUACCUGAAUGCUUCUACUCCUUUUUUGACUUGCGGAAAGAGUUCAAGAAAUGUUGCCCUGACUCAUCUGAUGUUAACAAACUGGAUGUUGCUGCCAUGACAGAAUAUUUAAAUCUUGAAAAGAGCAGUCCAGCAUGGCGUUUUGGAGCAUCUCAAGUGGAAGAUAUGGGGAAUAUUAUUUUAACACUAAUUUCUGAAGAAUACAAUCACAGAUUUGCAGAUCCUGAAAGAGUGAACUAUAAAUUUGAAAGUGGUACCUGCAGCAAGAUGGAACUCAUAGAUGAUAAUACCAUAAUCAGAGCAAGAGGCUUACCGUGGCAGUCAUCUGACCAGGACAUCGCAAGAUUCUUCAAAGGCCUAAAUAUUGCCAAGGGAGGUGCUGCACUUUGUCUCAAUGUACAAGGAAGAAGGAAUGGGGAAGCUCUCGUCAGGUUUGUAAGUGAAGAGCAUAGAGAGUUAGCACUACAAAGACACAAGCACCACAUGGGGAAUCGGUACAUUGAGGUGUACAAGGCAACAGGUGAAGAUUUCCUUAAAAUUGCAGGAGGUACUUCUAAUGAAGCAGCUCAGUUUUUAUCGAAAGAAAACCAGGUGAUUGUCCGGAUGCGAGGUCUUCCUUUCAAUGCAACGACAGAAGAAGUGCUGACGUUUUUUGGCCAGCACUGCCCAGUAACAGGAGGAAAGGAAGGAAUCCUGUUUGUCACAUACCCUGACAACAGGCCAACGGGAGAUGCCUUUGUGUUGUUUGCUUGUGAGGAAUAUGCACAAAAUGCACUAAAAAAACAUAAGGACUUGCUGGGUAAAAGGUACAUUGAACUCUUCAGGAGCACGGCAGCAGAGGUUCAGCAGGUGCUGAACAGGUACUCUUCUACACCUCUUGUUCCCCUUGCAGCGCCGCCUAUCCUUCCCAUGUUACCUCAGCAAUUCAUGUCUCCGACCAAUGUCAGAGACUGCAUACGUCUGCGUGGUCUUCCCUAUGCUGCCACUAUAGAGGACAUCUUGGAAUUCUUGGGGGAGUUUUCUGCAGAUAUUCGGACCCAUGGGGUUCACCUGGUAUUAAAUCACCAGGGCCGUCCAUCAGGAGAUGCCUUUAUCCAGAUGAAAUCUGCAGACCGAGCUUUCUUGGCUGCACAGAAGUGUCAUAAGAAGACCAUGAAGGACAGAUACAUUGAAGUCUUUCAGUGUUCUGCAGAGGAGAUGAACUUUGUAUUAAUGGGGGGCACUUUAAAUCGAAAUGGCUUGUCCCCACCACCAUGUAAGUUACCAUGUCUUUCUCCUCCGUCCUACUCACUCCCAGCUCCUGCAGCAGUUAUUCCAACAGAAGCUGCCCUUUAUCAACCCUCUGUGCUUUUGAAUCCACGAACGCUUCAGCCCUCCACAGCAUACUAUCCAGCUGGCACCCAGCUCUUCAUGAAUUACACGUACUAUCCCAGCUUGGGAAGCACAUCUAGCUGACCAUGCAGGCUACAUGCUGCAGAGACACUCCGGGAUGGAGUAGACUGGAGAUAUUGGAUCUCCUGGGACAGUGAGGAGAAGAGACUGUGUAGGCAUAGCUACAAACCUGCCAAAGAAAGGUGGAUAUCUAUGAGCAGAUUGCAUGGGAGAUGCAGGCGAAGGGGUUUGACAGGGACUGGCACCGGUUCCAUAUGAAAGCAGAGGAACUGCAUCAAGCUAUCAGAAGGCUAGCAAGGCCAACAGUCGAUCUGGUGUGGAGCUGCAGAUGUACAGCCUUCACAAAGACCUGAAUGGUGUACUUGGCGGAGACACCACCACCACUCCGCAGACCAUUGUGGAUACCACCAAGAAGCUCAAGUCUCAGGCCCCUGGCAAGGAAGAGAUGGAGGAGGAUGUGAGAGUGGGAGAUCCAGCUACAAGGUGAACCAGAACCUGUUUGAGAUUCCACCGCAGUCCAGUCAGUCUCGGCAGUCGAGCGCAAGCGAGCCUGAUGCAGGGAAGCAACCUGGGUUGCUGCCGUUUCAGCCUAGAGGGGUUCCACCGCCACAACUAUGGAACACCUAAGCCAGAUAAGGAGAAAGAAGAGGACUCAGGAUGACACAUUCAGCAAGAUCCUGCAAGCCAGUGUUGCAUCAGAUGAACACUGCAGGUAGCCUGUAGAAAGGCCCAGGAAUCUCUGAAGGAAAAACAGAAUCAGAUGCACCAGGACAUGACGGGGCUUCUUUGGCAGCAAACAGAUGCCGAAGACUCUUGUGUAACUACAUGUUCAACAGUCAUGGGCUCGCCUCCCUUUGCAGUUCAUGAAGAACUCCAUUACCGCAUCAUCUCCCUACACACCCCACUCAACAUACCACAUGGUAUCAGGGGGCUGCAUCCCGACUCCUACUGCUUCACCCCGAAGAACAUUAAGGACAACCACACUUCUCAUACACUGACCUGAGACAGCCAUGGUUGCUGUAUGUGUAGGUAAAAUGGAUAUGAAUGUUCUUUCUGCUUAAGUUCUGUUCCAUUAAUUUAAGUUUUUAAUGUAUUUGCUUUUAAAUUGCUCAGAC